AGUGAGCAACAGCCAUGAUGGUCGAGGGGUGCCGUCUCGCGAUAGCACUUCCAAGACCAGGUUUACUGUGAAGAAAUUAGAGUGUUCAAAGCAGGCGAUUGCUUGGAUACGUUAGCAUGGAAUAAUGGAAUAGACGUUGGUUCUGUUUUGUGGGUGAGACCGAGGUAAUGGUUAAGAGGGACAGUGGGGGCAUUAGUAUUUCGGAGCUAGAAGGUGAAAUUCUUGGAUUUCCGAAAGACUGGCUAGUGCGAAAGCAUCUGCCAAGGGAUGUUUUCAUUAAUCAAGAACGAAAGUUGGGGGAUCGAAGACGAUUAGAUACCGUCGUAGUCUCGACCGUAAACGAUGCCGACCUGGGAUCGGCGCCAGGCACAUGCGGGCGCCGGGACCGUGCGAGAAAUCAGAGUUUCUGGGUUCUGGGGGGAGUAUGGUCGCAAGGCUGAAACUUGAAGGAAUUGACGGAAGGGCACCACCAGGAGUGGAGCCUGCGGCUUAAUUUGACUCAACACGGGGAAACUUACCAGGUCCAGACAUUGGGAGGAUUGACAGAUUGAGAGUUCUUUCACGAUUCUAUGGGUGGUGGUGCAUGGCCGUUCUUGGUUGGUGGAGCGAUUUGUCUGGUUUAUUCCGAUAACGAACGAGUAUAUCAGACCUGCUAAAUAGGGCGCGCAAUUGCGAUUGCGUGUGCUUCUUAGAGGGACUGCUGG
rnacentral:rRNA from 1 species